AUGUCCACGCUGCCGUGUACGGGAGCACGGACCGCUUGGGAUACUGGCAUGCCUUCAUGGUAUUUCACGGCUGACACCGUCAAAAGCAAUCUCUUCAUCCAAUCGGACAAGAACCUCUCCGCCGCCGUUGAGGGCGUCUUCACGCUGCUCGGCCAUGCGUGCGAUGUCUUCUUCUUCGGCCAUGCGACGCCGCCGCCCUCUCUGAUCGUGCAGGAUUGGUCGCUCCACCCGGCGAAACAAAGAGUAGGUCUCGGCCGGCACGCAUGCAGUGGAACCUGGAUGGGCAGGAGGCUCGCCAGGUCGGCCAUGCGGCACGCCCGCAUCGUCAAUGUCGUCAAGACAGAUACAACACCUUCAGGCUAUACUCUUCCUCUUCAUCUUUUCCACCUUCAUUGCACUGGAAUCUCACGUGUCCCCAGCGGCCCCGCCUCCAUGUCUGAUGAGAAGAAUACCUACAAUAUGCAUGCAUCUUGUCAACUCAAUCCCCUCUUAUAUUAUUUAAAUCUCAGCCAGAUAGCCACGUUUGAGGCAGGAACUGCAAGUACUUUAGCCAGUGGGAUCUAUUUUGUGAGGGAAUGA
rnacentral:rRNA from 1 species